UACAGAGGGGGCAAGCGUUGUUCGGAAUUACUGGGCGUAAAGGGCGCGUAGGCGGCCCGGUAAGUCAGACGUGAAAUCCCUCGGCUUAACCGGGGAACCGCCUCUGAUACUGGAUGGCUUGAGAUUGGGAGAGGGAUGCGGAAUUCCAGGUGUAGCGGUGAAAUGCGUAGAUAUCUGGAGGAACACCGGUGGCGAAGGCGGCAUCCUGGACCAACACUGACGCUGAGGAGCGAAAGCCAGGGGAGCAAACGGG
rnacentral:rRNA from 1 species